GCCCCCGUGGCGCAAUCGGUAGCGCGCACGACUCUUAGAGUUUGCUUGAACCGAUUAUGGGCAUCAUUUAUCGUGCGGUUGCGGGUUCGAGCCCCACCGGAGGCU